rnacentral:rRNA from 1 species
AUAGAUGUUUAUAGAAAAUUAGAAUUAGUAUUAGUUAUGUUCUUGAAAAUUAAAGAUUUUGGCGGUAUUUUAGUCUUUUCAGAGGAACCUGUCCUGUAAUUGAUAAUCCACGAUAAAUUGAACUUAUUUUAUUAAUUUGUAUAACGUCGUAGAUGAAUAUUUUAAAAGAAUAAUAAUAUUCAAUAUUUUUAAUUUUAUUUUAAAUCAGAUCAUGUUGCAGUUUAUAAAUAAGGAGAGAUGGGUUACAAUAUAAUAUAUAAAUGAAUUAAUUUAAUUGAAAAUUAUUAUGAAAGUGGAUUUGAAAGUAAUUAAUUAAAUUUUUUUUUAAUGAUUUUAGCUCUAAAAUAUGU